rnacentral:rRNA from 1 species
UGAACAUCGACAUUUCGAACGUACAUUGCGGUCCACGGAUUAUGUUCCCGGACCACGCCUGGCUGAGGGUC